rnacentral:ncRNA from 1 species
CAGUUUAAAAAUUCAUUAAAGAAAAAAAAGCUCCUUAAAAAGCAGAAUUAACCAAAUAAAAAGGAGGUGUAAAGGCUCACUGAAGAAAGUAAUUCCUUAAAAACAGAAAUGGGUCCCUCUCCUACUUGGAUAACUGAGGUAAUUCUAGAGUUAAUAUAUGCCAAGGAGUACUGAUCCAGUACUCUUCCCCAGGGAUGUGUGCAUUUGUCCCAACUGGGGGUGAGGGUACCCUACAACUUUGGUGACUCUAGAUAACCUCCAGCCAAUCCAUGCCACCAUCAACACUUCCUCCCCACCCCACCCCACCCCCAUCAACUUUUGAUGGUACUUGCUUUGCCUAGCUGAAUUCUGGAGAGGAAGAAUUGAGCUACUGAAGCUGAGAAUGGCUACUACAUUCAAGGAAGACUGCAGGCUCACACCCAUUUCCUACCCAGGGAAUUGGUGAUGAAAAAUAGCAAUACAGGAUUCUCUCAAGACCCUGUAACUGGAAUAAGUAGACUUUAAAUCCUUUAACAAGGAUCCAUUAAAAGGCAAGUCUGGUAUCAGCAGCAGCUUAUAUAUUAAAGUUGCUGCAGUUAAAAAGCUCAUUGUUGGAUCUUGGGAUCAAGAACAAAAAAGGAAAAAAAAUAGAAUUAGGCAAAUAAAAGCUACUGACUCCAUGAGACAUCAAGA